rnacentral:rRNA from 1 species
AUACGUAGGGUGCAAGCGUUAAUCGGAAUUACUGGGCGUAAAGCGUGCGCAGGCGGUUUUGUAAGACAGAGGUGAAAUCCCCGGGCUCCACCUGGGAACUGCCUUUGUGACUGCAAGGCCAGAGUACGGCAGAGGGGGAUGGAAUUCCGGGCGUAGCAGGGGAAUGCGUAGAUAUGCGGAGGAACACCGAUGGCCAAGGCAAUCCCCUGGGCCUGUACUGACGCUCAUGCACGAAAGCGUGGGGAGCAAACAGGAUUAGAUACCCUGGUAGUCCACGCCCUAAACGAUGUCAACUGGUUGUUGGGUCUUCAUUGACUCAGUAACGAAGCUAACGCGUGAAGUUGACCGCCUGGGGAGUACGGCCGCAAGGUUGAAACUCAAAUGAAUUGACGGGG